CGAGCCGGCCGGGCGGUCGCGUCAGCAGCUCCGGCUGUUGCCGAGGAACGUCCGGACUCCGUAGGGCAGGGUGGUUGUUAACGGCAACCCGGGGCGACCCGCGGGACAGUGCCACAGAAAACAAACCGCCGGCCGAGCCUGGCCGGUAAGGGUGAAACGGUGGGGUAAAAGCCCACCAGCAUCCCGGGUGACCGGGGUGGCUUGGUAAACCCCACCCGGAGCAAGGCCAAGAGGGUCGCCGCAGCAAUUCGGCGACCUGCGCAGGCGCCUGAGGACGGCCCGUCCGAUGCCUGCGGGUAGGCCGCUAGAGCCCGUCGGCGACGGCGGGCCGAGAGGGAUGGCCGCCGGUCACCCUUCGGGUGACCACAGAAUCCGGCGUACAGGCCGACUCGUCCG
rnacentral:RNase_P_RNA from 1 species